AGAAAGAGAUUUGUAUUUUAUUAUGAUUUUACAUCUCAAUGAAAAUUCAUCACGGGCGACCUAACGUCCUGCACAUGUCAUUCUAUUGUUGUGCGCGCUUGUUUGCAGGAUAGGGUUACUAAAUCUACUGGGAGUGAAAUUCCAGUUAGACGUGGAUUGACAGUGAGUGUGUUUAAUUCAAAACGUCAACAUAAAUCGUAUUGAACAGAACACGGAAAAUGUUAAUCUAUCUUUUCUGUUGUCGCGAGCUCCUCACUUUACUCUUAUAUUCUUUUCAAGUAUGACGAUAACUGUUGCAGUAUAAAGUGUCCUUUCCGUGCAGUCCUUUUCGUCAUCUUAUCUUUUAUGUUUAUUUAAAAA